rnacentral:rRNA from 1 species
ACUGCUCAGUAACACGUGAUCAACUUACCCUUCAGUGGGGCAUAACCUCGGGAAACUGAGGCUAAUUCCCCAUAGUUGGAGUUGCCUGGAAUGGUACUCCAUCGAAAGAUACUCCGGAAUGUAGGAGAUUCACUGAAGGAUAGGAUCGCUCUCGAUUAUGGUUGUUGGCGAGGUAAUGGCUCACCAAGCCUAUGAUCGAUAGGGGCCGUGAGAGCGGUAGCCCCGAGAUGGGAACUGAGACAAUGUCCCAGGCCUUACGAGGCGCAGCAGGCGCGAAACCUUUACAAUGCACGAAAGUGUGAUAAGGUUACCNGGAGUGCCGAGAGACAAUCUUUCGGCUGUUGUGGGAGUGUAAAUAACCCCACCAGAAAGGAGAGGGCAAGGCUGGUGCCAGCCGCCGCGGUAAAACCGGCUCUUCAAGUGGUCGGGAAUAUUAUUGGGCUUAAAGUGUCCGUAGCCGGUUUGAUAAGUUCCUGGUUAAAUCUGGCAGCUUAACUGUCAGUUGGCUAGGAAUACUAUCUUACUAGAGGGUGGGAAAGGAUUGAGGUACUCCUGGGGUAGCGGUGAAAUGCUAUAAUCCUUGGGGGACCACCAGUGGCGAAGGCGUCAGUCUGGAACACGCCUGACGGUGAGGGACGAAAGCCAGGGGAGCGAACGGGAUUAGAUACCCCGGUAGUCCUGGCUGUAAACGAUGCGUGCUAGGUGUUGGUAGGGCUAGGAGCCGUGCCAGUGCCGUAGGGAAACUGUUAAGCACGCCGCCUGGGAAGUACGCUCGCAAGGGUGAAACUUAAAGGAAUUGGCGGGGGA